rnacentral:lncRNA from 1 species
UUUGUGUGUCAAUCUCAGAGGAUGGAACUUAUGCCAAGGUGUUGAUACAGAUCAAGGAACAACUAGAUCUGGUGAGGGAGGAGAUCUGUGCUGAACAUAUGCCAUGUUUGUUGUAGCUGUUGUUCAUUCUUACGCCAGUUCGCUAUAACCCGAAAAAUUUUAAACUCGCUCUCCGGGCAUACCAUGUUGAAUAAAAUUUGAAAUACCUCGCUUUCUUCUAUAUGCACAUGAUCUUCAAUAUCGUCAUCUGUUAGAAGUUGUGUGUGCAGUAUACUUUUCCUUCUUAAUACACCAAAAAGUGGUUAGACAUGACAUAUGGAGAUUUUUAUUUGUGCGCAUAUGUGCAUGAAUGCUCUUUGGCCACAUGAAUUGAUUG